rnacentral:rRNA from 1 species
GUGCCAGCCGCCGCGGUAAUACAGAGGGUGCAAGCGUUAAUCGGAAUUACUGGGCGUAAAGCGCGCGUAGGUGGUUUGUUAAGUCGGAUGUGAAAUCCCAGGGCUCAACCUUGGAAUGGCACCCGAUACUGGCAGGCUAGAGUACGGUAGAGGGGUGUGGAAUCUCCUGUGUAGCGGUGAAAUGCGUAGAUAUAGGAAGGAACAUCAGUGGCGAAGGCGACACCCUGGACUGAUACUGACACUGAGGUGCGAAAGCGUGGGGAGCAAACAGGAUUAGAUACCCGAGUAGUCC